UACGAAGGGGGCUAGCGUUGUUCGGAAUUACUGGGCGUAAAGCGCGCGCAGGCGGUCCUUCAAGUCAGAGGUGAAAGCCCAGAGCUCAACUCUGGAACGGCCUUUGAGACUAGAGGACUUGGGUACGGGAGAGGUGAGUGGAAUUCCGAGUGUAGAGGUGAAAUUCGUAGAUAUUCGGAAGAACACCAGUGGCGAAGGCGGCUCACUGGCCCAUUACCGACGCUCAGGCGCGACAGCGUGGGGAGCAAACAGG
rnacentral:rRNA from 1 species